UUAAGCAUAUCAAUAAGCGGAGGA
rnacentral:rRNA from 2 species